CAAUAGCGUAUAUUUAAGUUGCUGCAGUUAAAAAGCUCGUAGUUGGAUUUCGGGUGGGAAUGGCCGGUCCGCCGUUUCGGUGUGCACUUGCUACGCCCACCUUGCUGCCGGGGACGUGCUCUUGAGUUCACGCUCGGGACACGGAGUCGGCGAGGUUACUUUGAGUAAGUUAGAGUGUUCAAAGCAGGCCUACGCUCUGAAUACAUUAGCAUGGAAUAACACGAUAGGACUCUGGCCUAUCUUGUUGGUCUGUAGGACCGGAGUAAUGAUUAAGAGGGACAGUCGGGGGCAUUCGUAUUUCAUUGUCAGAGGUGAAAUUCUUGGAUUUAUGAAAGACGAACUACUGCGAAAGCAUUUGCCAAGGAUGUUUUCAUUAA
rnacentral:rRNA from 1 species